AUAUAAUGGUAUUUACGCAGCUAAUCAACGUCAGGCGUCCUUAUGUGCAGCCACCGUUAUUCUAUAGAUAUGAAUGAGUAGAUAGGACACGCCCCUUUGAGCUGCGUGCUACAGCGAGGCUAAGCUAAUGGGGGCAAAGUUUCAGUGCAUUCCUUGAUGUAGACGGCGUGAAAACGGAAACAAGUAUGCUGGCUAACUAUGCUGCAUACAAUUACACACUGCGUCGUACAAUUGAGACAAGGAAACCUGGAAUGACUUUUCAUAGGUUUCCCAGAGACUAUGGGUUGAGGAGGAAUUGGAAGUUUGUCGGCUUAGACCUGGUGUCAUUCCAUCAGUGUUAAACUUCCCGGCUCAUCUUGGAAGAGUACGUGCCAGAAAGACCACGACCAAGCAGCCUUGAGAUCUUAGGCAGCGUCUCCCUGAGGUCCCUCUCUAUCUCCCCACACAUCCACCAACCACUGGAACACAUCUCCAAAGUUCUGCCGGGCCAGCUCAGCUUCCCCUCAGAAGAAGUGCUGCCACCUGCCAGAUGAAGGAGCCUUUUGAGAGGCAGCUGACAUCGUGAUUGGACUGUACUUUGGUCUGUUCCAAUCCAGCUUCAGCUCCAGAGACGGCAGGCGGGACGAGUCAACGGAGGCCUGGUGGACGAAGACCAAAGAACUACAGACUCUUCACAACCUGCUCAAACUCUUGGUACAGGACCUCACCACACGGAUCAAGAAGGUUGCUUUGUAGAACUGUUCCAGAAAACCUCACUAAACCACAUGGAGGGGCCUCAAGAUAGUCGUCCAAAUGAAACCAUACAAAAACCAAACUAGUACAACCCAAACGCUAAAGUCUCCUGCAGCCUACCAGAGAACCUCUGAGAACAGAGAAUCAGGACAGGAUCUCUUACCUUCUGGACAACCAACGCUGGUUCACAAACACACAGAAUGUGUCUGACCAAAAACCUCUGAAGACUCACUACAGCCAAGAUAAAGACACAACUCAGCUGCACCAAAUCCACUAAUCACUGCACACAUUAGCACCAUGUGCUAACUGUGGCUAAAGAACCACAUUUACCAAGACAACUAUCCAGUACAAAGCCCUAAAACACACCAAGAAACACAUUAAAGAUGAUUUUACUGCUGGAAGCUGCAAACCAACGCCUAAAGAACAAACUAAAGCAACGGAGCCAAACUCGGUUCACUGGUGAAGAGAAGCAGAGGAAAUGUUUGCUGCAGCUAAAUAAAGCAGGAAGACACUGAGCUGCUCAGGUGUUCCUGAUAACACCAAGCAGCCACCUGGACAGCCAAUAGGAACACAGCUUACUGGAAGUCCAGAGGGCUGGCUUAGUGAAGGAAAU
ensembl:lncRNA